AUCAGAGAGUGAGGCCUGAGCUGCAGGAGGAGAGCCUGCAGGCCUCCUGGGUAGAAUUACACCUUCACAAUCAUGAGAAUGUGAGCAGUGUUUCAGCGUCAAUUUCUACGUAUAGAGAUGACAAGGAAAAGAUAAAGCUGAAUUUUCAGCAUGAGUCCAGAUAGUGAUAGCUGCAAAAAUUCUCAUUGUGACAGCCCACCUUAAUCUGACACCAUGGGACACUAAUAGGGCUUCUGAAACACACACCCAAAGCAUUGGAGAGAAAAAUGAGAUCUUGAUCUGAGCAAGAUUAUUUUCAUAGAAAAAUAUUAUAAAGAUCUUAAGAAAAAGCUCAGAUUAGAUAUGAUUGAUCAAGUCAGUCAAAAAAUAUUCCCCUAAAAGCAAUUUCUCUCUAAACACCCAAAGUGCACAGCUACUCUCAGCAUGAGAAACAUGAGCUUCAGGAAGAAAGAAGGCAGAUUUUCAGAAGAAUUUUAUAAAGUUUUUUUUCCAUCUUUGGUGCUCUCUCAUCUCCUAGCCAGUGAAUGGAGUUCUAUAUUGAAAUACAUCUGACAACUUCCAACAACACUUUUUGA
rnacentral:lncRNA from 1 species